UCUCCUCUUUCUCCACGAAAUAGCUCCAUUCCUUCUCUCUUCAUAUGUAAAGUAUACAAUGAUGCCUUAUACUAGGUAACAUCUCUCUAUACAAUCUCUCGUUUUGAUUCCUCUCUGACUCUCUUGUUUGGUGAGGAAGAUCGAUUAUCUGAUUCUAUUAUAACUCAGUUUAGAGGAAGACAGCUUGAUUCCAAAGCUACCUCUCUCUAAAGGCUCUACCACCAUCAACUGAAGCCACAUUUCAAUCACCAAUAAGCGACACAGCCACAACCAUUUCACUCUUAUCGCCUCCGCCGAUGCCUCUGCUGGUAUAACUGUCAUAAUUUUUCUAAUUUUCAUUUUUUUUCUCUAAUUUUUACUUCAUUACCCUGUUCUAAGAAAGGGGGAAAGCGAGAAAAAUUUGUAGGUGUGAUGACGGUAGAGAAAUUGUUCAAAGCAAUCAACCUUGCCGAGAGAAGAUGCUAGAAGCACCUGAAGAUAAAGCCAAAAAGCUAUGAAUAAGGCUUUUGAAAGUGUAAGGGCUUCUAGCUUAGGCAAAUACCUCUUGCGUCUCUAUAACAGAUGUGAUUUAGUGUUUGUGCAGUGAGAGGAAAGUCUGCACCGUCAAUUAAUAUUCUCACUAAAAACUUGGCAUGGGAGUUGUAAUUGCUUCUAGCUCAGUUGCUCAAACAACACUAGGAUUUAGCAUAAAGUUUUCAAAUUAAAUAGCCACAGUAAAAGGAUCGUUGAUAAUGGCAUUCAAAGAAGAUAAAUCCAAUGAUAGAGCUUUGAUUGCACCUCGUGAGCAAAUCCAUUUGCCUGUGCAAGCACCCAUUGGGAAGAAGAGACAAGGAAAAAUUAACAAUGAAUUAUCUUUAAACACCCUGGAGGUGGAUUACAAUGAAGCUGUUGCUAAGCUUGAAAAUUUAUACAAGCUUAGCCCUGCAACUGAUGCUUCUGAUGUAGAUGGAAAUGUCUUAAAGGGGAAAGGUCAGCGAAGGAAAAGGAAAACUGGUGAAGAUGACAAUAAAGCAGAGAAUAGAACUAGUAAAAUCAUUGUUAAGAACCUUGCAAAGAAAACUAAAUAAUUGAGUGUUGAUAAAAGAAUUGCAAUGAGGAAAAACAAGGUAGAGGAAGUGUUAACUCAAGUUAAGAAGAAACAAAAGCUAAGGAUGAAGAUGAAAAGAUUGAAGAACUUGUGAGUGAGUAUUAUGCUUCAACUAAUUUGGUCCGCUUAGAAUGGGAAAAAAAUGAAGAUACCUCCAAUUCUCCUUUCAACAGAGCAUGCCUGGUUGUUCAAGUUGAUGCAAUCCGUAAAGAUAUGACUUUGCGAAUGAUGAAGACGUUAUUGAAGUAACUUUUUUGGGGUGAAGUGUUCAAAAGUAAUUUGGAAGACAUUAUUGAUUUUAUUUUAAUCUUUACAUAAUUUUAGUUAUUUUCUUUUCAUAUACAAACUAAGUGCGAAUAUAUCAAAUUGAUAUUUUAGACAGUUGUUAUGACAUUAUUGAGAUUAAUAUAUGAAUAUUAUUCUAGUUAUGAAUACAUCUUGUUUAUUAUUGUUGAUU